AGCUGCGCUGCUCCUGGUAACUGC
rnacentral:miRNA from 1 species